AACGUAGGUGGCGAGCGUUAUCCGGAUUUACUGGGCGUAAAGCGUGCGCAGGCGGCUUCUCAAGUCAGGGGUGAAAGCCCAGAGCUCAACUCUGGAAUUGCCUUUGAGACUGAGUGGCUUGAGUACGAGAGAGGUGAGUGGAAUUCCCAGUGUAGAGGUGAAAUUCGUAGAUAUUGGGAAGAACACCGGUGGCGAAGGCGGCUCACUGGCUCGUAACUGACGCUCAUGCACGACAGCGUGGGGAUCAAACAGG
rnacentral:rRNA from 1 species